AACCCAGUGUUAGUCGUUUCUGCAAUCUCCUUAGAUCAGGGAUGGGCAGCGCCAGACCUUGAGAGCUGGUGUGUCUGCAUGACUGAUUACCUGAUUCAGGUGUGUCCAGCCAGUCAGAACAUGCCAGAGCAAAGAAUGUUGGGACACAUGCAGGAAUUCAGCCCUCGAGGCCUUAGACAUUCUCUGCUUGAUGCAGGUCAGUGAUUUGACCCUUCUCAAAUAGAAACAUCUUUUCCAUGACCACAGAAUAUGUUUUUCAACAUGAUUGUUUACGAAAUGAGAAGCAGUUCAUUGCACCAGCUGGAGGUUAAUAAUUUGUUGCCUCCUGAAAAUUAACCAUGAAGAAAUUAUCCACUUGGAGGAUUAUACUUAUUUCAUUAUCUAAAUCCAGGAAGCAUGUUUCAACCAAGAUUCUUCAGCAGAGCUCCACCCUAUGCGAGUUUCUACAUGCAGCAGGAGUUUGCAGUCAACGCGUCUCCAACAGCAGCUUCGUGAAGAAGACAGUUUUUCAAGCUCUGGGGUCUAAACUUAUCAAACAAACUCCUUUAAAGGUGUUUUCUACUAAAAGUUACAGGUAAUUUCUGAGGAAGAUGAAGUCAAAGAUUUUCAAAUGUUUCUGCUCUGGUGGAACUUCACUAAAAUUGUCUGUUGAAGCUGAUACAAAGACUUGGUUUCUUUUACAAAGACAAUGUAACAAUGUUAUUUAUUAUUAUUAUUUUUUUUUAAGAUUUUGAGUCUGAAUUGGAAACAGAUUUUGCUUCAGCACAUCCAUUUUUUCUGCAGAAUUGUUUUCUCUACACGUCUGCUUAGGCUUAUAGUGUGCAGCUGAUUCUACAGAGAAGGAUGAUGCUUCAGAUCCAGACCAUAAUAAUCCCUGCACAGCCUUUAAACAGCACACUGAGGAAACAGCAGUCAACACCAGCCAGAGGAUUCUCCCGCUCAUAAACAGGAGAUCGAGAACUGCAGCAGUUCCAGUCAGAAAACUUUAUUGACAACAAAUCAAACUUCCCAUGAUCCCCUGCAGCUGUUUUCUCCUCUGCUAGAGUUACAGAUAGAGAUCAAGUAGAGCUUUGCUAUUCUGCAGAUUCAGAAGACAAGAGAAAAAGUUUUCACCAAGACUCACCAUGUCAGCAGAAGAAAUCAGGAGCAACUCUCACGUCUCCGUCUGCUCAGUCAAACUCAGCUAUCUCUCUCCUGGUUCUUCAAUACCAGAGCCGGGCUCCUCCCCUUGAGUUUCUCUCCUCCUCCUCCUCCUCCUCCUCCUCCUCCUCCUCUCUGUGCUCUCCAGAAAUCACCCAAAAGCACCAGUUAUCAGUCAACAAGCAGCUGCGUUCCACAGACUUUCUAAGCCCUGAAGGCGUAUAAACUAAAUUCAAUAAAAGAAAAAAAAAAAGUUGUAUUUGUGUCAGAAAUUCUUUCAAAUGAUUCGAUCUUUAAGUGUUUAUAUUGUACUGAUUUGCUUUGUAUUUUUAAUACUUGAAAUAUCUCUUAGUUAAACAACUAUUUGUGAUCCCUGAAAGCAGUUAUCACAUUCUGUCCAGAGGCUGGAUCAGCUGAUCUUUAGGAUUCCAUAUAGAGGCAGGAUGUGCAACAAAUAAGCAGAUCAGUCUAGAAUUCUAAUCAAAACAAAAAGCUGUUUUAUUUUUCACCAGAGGAGGGCAGCAGAGUGCAGGGACAACUGUUAUGAUCGUUUUUCUUGAAAAUUCAAAGAAUACAAUACAAAAAUAUAACAUUAUAAAAAUACAAUACAAGAACAUAAAAUAAUUCUAAAUAAAAGUCAAGGUUAUUCUUAACUUUUAAAAUUCUUAAUUGUUGAAAACAAGAAUAUUGUAUACAUUAUAAUAUAAUAUUUAAGAAACUGUAUAUAAAGAAUAACCAAAUCAAAAAUUCACAGAUAAAGAAAAAAAUAAAGAAAAUAAAAAUAAAUAAAUAAAAAA